GAAGGAAAGAAAGAAGAAGAAGAAGAAGAAAAGAGAAAGUGAGGAAGUUGAAGUGGGUUUCGGCCAUGGGUGCUUGUGAGGUGCAUUGAGGUUGAGUCAAGAAUCCACCGAAGGGUACUCAAGCGAACAAGCGGGCUCAUGAAAUCCGCCUACAUCAUGGAUGGUGGUGAUUCCCGUGGUUCAGACAAGGUUGUGGAUGCAGGCAAAGAGAUGGUAGAUGAGGAUAUUGUUGCCAUGUAUUUGGGCCAUGAUGGUUGAGGCCUAGAUG